rnacentral:rRNA from 1 species
CUACGGGAGGCUCCAGUGGGGAAUAUUGCACAAUGGAGGAAACUCUGAUGCAGCAACGCCGCGUGGAGGAUGACACUUUUCGGAGCGUAAACUCCUUUUAUAUAGGAAGAAGAUGACGGUACUAUAUGAAUAAGCGCCGGCUAACUCCGUGCCAGCAGCCGCGGUAAUACGGAGGGCGCAAGCGUUACUCGGAAUCACUGGGCGUAAAGAGCGUGUAGGCGGAUUAAAAAGUCAGAAGUGAAAUCCUAUAGCUUAACUAUAGAACUGCUUCUGAAACUCUUAAUCUAGAAUAUGGGAGAGGUAGAUGGAAUUUCUGGUGUAGGGGUAAAAUCCGUAGAGAUCAGAAGGAAUACCGAUUGCGAAGGCGAUCUACUAGAGCAUUAUUGACGCUGAGGCGCGAAAGCGUGGGGAGCAAACAGGAUUAGAUACCCCCGUAGUC